rnacentral:rRNA from 1 species
UACGAAGGGGGCUAGCGUUGUUCGGAAUUACUGGGCGUAAAGCGCGCGCAGGCGGUUUUUCAAGUCAGUGGUGAAAGCCCGGAGCUCAACUCCGGAACUGCCAUUGAAACUGUGAAACUUGAGGAUGAGAGAGGUGAGUGGAACUGCGAGUGUAGAGGUGAAAUUCGUAGAUAUUCGCAAGAACACCAGUGGCGAAGGCGGCUCACUGGCUCGGUACUGACGC